GUAUUGGAAAUGGAAGCAAAAGUGACCAAAUGAGGUGAAAAAGGCGAAAUUUGAUCAAGGAACUCAAACCCUCAAUUUGAGUAAUUGUUGUUUUUGAUUUGUUAGAAGGGGUUAAAAUGCAUAUUUUGAUCAUUUUACAUGUGCAUGCAUUGAGAAUUUUAGCAAACAAAUGAUCUAUGAUGCAUUUUGAGUGAUUGGGGUACAAAUGGUAAUUUUUCAAAAUUGGCUUUCUGCAAAAAUUUCGCAGAAGAAAACGCACUUGGGCUGAAAACGCGCCUUAGAAUCGCGUUUUCCAUAAUCGCGUUUUAAAUUCUGCGCCUAUACUGAAGAAAACGCGACUUAAAAACGCGACAGGAAGUCGCGUUUUCUACAAAGUCGCGUUUUCCAGCCUGUUCAGAAACCAAAAACGCGACUUUAAAUAUGCGACUCAAAGUCGCGUUUUUAAGCAUAGUCGCGUUUUCGAUCCUGCAAGAUAUGUGAAGAAACGCGACUUCAUAAAACGCGGCUUGGUGGCGCGUUUUGAUGAGUCGCGUUUUUGAAAAAAAAAUGCAGAUUCCUUGAUUCUCUUUUUUCUUCUUUUCCUCAUAUAUAUUUUCUUGUACCUUGAGUUACUUAUUGUGUAUUUUUUUUAGGUACAUCACGAAAACAAAGGAUUGAAGUUACGGAUCAUCAUUUUGUUUAUUAAACCUUUGUUAUCACUUUUGUUUCUCAUUUUUCAUUUUUUAGGAUUACAUCACUAAUGGUUAUCCAAUGAAACUCAUGAAGCGUUGGAGAUACACGGACAAUGGAUUUUGAAGCUUCAUAUUCAAUCGCAACAAUAGGGGAGUAUUACCUUUCUUUAUCUUGAUUUUCCUUUUUACACAUUGAGGACAAUGUGUAUGUUAAGUGUGGGGGGAGAAUUGAGAUUAUAUAUAUUGUAUGUGAUUAACAAAAGAAAAAAGAAAAAAAAUAAAAAAUUCUUCUACUCCAAUGAUUCUUGUACUUAGUAACCGGGAGUCUUCAUCUACAAAUGUCGACUUUCGCGUAAAACGGUACUUGAAUUAAGAGUAUGCAAAGCAACUUGAGUAUGUGAAGUGUUGAGUAACCGGUGAUUUUCAUCUAAAAAUGUCGAUCCUCGCGUCAAAAGGCAUUCUCACGUCUUAAGUAAUAUUUAGAUAUGUAAUAUUAAUAAAUAUCUUUUUAAACAGAAUUAAAAGAUGAUCAUGAGUUUAGGAAGCAUUAUUAUUGACCAUAUGAGUUACUUACUUGUAAGAUUGGGUAAGGAUGAAAAAUUGAUUUGAAUUUGUUAUAAUAACGGUAUAAUUGGCUCUCCUUUACUUGAUAUUAUGAGUACUUGAACUUAAUUGAAUAAUUGCAUAAUGGUUAUUUACUUUGUUUUGAGGAAAUGAAGUUGAAAUGCUACAUAUGUUUAUUUUCAAAUUUUGGAUCAUUGUUGGUUUGUAUUUUUAUUGCUUGAGGACAAGCAAUGGUUCAAGUGUGGGGGUAUUUGAUAAGAAUAUAUUUUACGUAUUUUUUAGUGUGUUUUAUUAGUUAAUUUUGGUUUGAUUAUUUAGUUUUAUAACUAAAAUAACUAAGGUUUUGGUAAAAAACUACAUUUUAUGUUAAAGUGGCUAAACAUUGCAUUUUAUGGAUUUUUAUGGUAAAAACUUCAUAUUUUGUAGGUUUAAUGAUUCAAUCAUCAAAUGAAGUGCAUUGAGAAGAUAUUUGGAUGAUUGAAGAUAGAUUAAAGUGGGGAAAAUAAAAUAUGAAGUGUAAAAGGAAGAAAUGCAAUUUGAGGACAAAAAUCAAGAAAAGUCAGUUAUGACAACUCAGACAUAUUUUCGUAUUUUGACUAUAUCAGGAGCUACAAUGAUCGGAUCAAGGUGAUCUUGGUACCAUUUUGAAGCUAAGAGAUAUAUCUACAUUUGGUAUGAAGACAUCAAAGUCCAAUUCAUCCGUUUUCAUAGUCCAAAAGUUGAAAUACCGAAAUUCAACUCAGCUGUCCAAAGUGGAAAACAGAGUUCCGACCAGUGUUUAGUAUUUUGAUCAUAUCUCAGUCUACAAAGCUCCGAUUUGGAUGAUUCUUGAAGCAUUGGAAAGCUAACUCAAAGAUCUACAACUUUGGUGUUUUGUACAAAAGCCAGUUCGGCCUGCAUCAUGGAGAAAAUCGCAGUUUAAGUAAGGACAAAGUGAAAACGCGAGUGCACAAAACGAGAGUUGUAGACGCGUUUUGUAAAGGCGCGUUUUCUGGCCGAAAUUCUGCAAUUUGCUCAGUCAAUUCUCUUGUGUUCAUACCACUUUCCAGCUAUAAGUUGCAAGAGAAUUCGGUGCACAUGCUUCAGAAGACAAAAGGGCAGACAAGGUGGCUUAUUUUCAAGUCAAAAACAUUUGUUAUUGACUAUCCUAACAAAGUUGAGAUUUGGGAAUCAAAAUGUGGAAUUUGACUUGGAAAAAUGGAGCUCUUAAGCAGUUUAUAUGCAGAGACAUUUUGGGUGGUCUAAAAAGGGGGAAAUAUACGGGAGAAGCUUGAAGAGUGCAGAAAUGUAGUUCUUCCAUUUCCUUAGUGUAGGAUAGUGUAGUAAGUGUAGUUAAUCCAUUCUUGUAUAAUAGCUAGAUUAGGAUGAAGAUGGAGAUGAAGAAGGAGAAGUUGAAGCUCAAGUGACAUGGGUUAUCUCUACUCCAAUUCUUUAUCUUUUGUAUUGGAUUCUUAACUAUGGUUAUUAUGCAAGUUCUGGAAUUUAUGUCUAUUAUGUGUUUCUAAAGUUUAUGCCUUGGGUUUGGUUGAACUUUCUAUGAUUGUUAGUGUUUAUCAUUUGGCUAUUUAACUGCCAUAAUUUGAGCAAGUUAUUUAGCACUUUAGCUCUUUAAAUCAUGAUUAAUUUGGUACCAUUAAUUGUGAUUAUCUAAGGUGUUAUUUCUGCAAUGAAAAUUGAGAUUUAACAUUAGUUCAAGAAGUGCUAAACAUAGGGAGUACACUCACGAAAGUAGAGGUGCAUCUAUGUGGUUUUUAGUGAUUCAUUUCAUGUAAUUUCAUUGAAGAAAUGAACUUGUAGCUAAUUUCAUAACCAUGAGAAUAGGUAUGGAUUAGUUAUAAGUAUAAUUGAUUCACUACGAAAGUAGGAUUCAAAUGCAUAAGGAAAUUACACCAUAAUUAGCCUAGAUGUAGUACUUCAAUGAUCCAAAUAUAACACUUGCAUGAGUAGUUAGGGAUACCACAACCUAAGGAGCUUUUAUUUGUUAAUUUCUUGUAUAAGUGCAGUAGGUUAAAUUUCUUAUUAUUCAUUGAUAGUCUAAAUAAUAGAGAAGCUUUAGUAAUACCGGUAAUUGUUCACUUUCCCUGUGGGAUCGACCCGAUAUAUACCCUAAACUACUAGUUGAUCUGUAUACUUGCAGUGAACGGGUGUAAUUCGGUAUUUUUUAGCUUGCACGUAUGUAAAAUACCCGUCAAGUUUUUGGCGCCGUUGCCGGGGAAGAUUUGGCAAUAUCGGUGUGAAGAGCAACUUUAUUAAUUUAGACAAUUUUUCUUAUUUUUGUUGUUUUUGUUGUAUCUUGUGUGUUUUAUGUCAUUUUUUUGAGUCAAUUUUUAUUAUUAUUAUUAUUUUUUUUUUCUGUUUUAGUUUGUGUCUUGGAAUCUAUCCUUCUUAACUGAUCUUACUUUUGAGAUUGUUUAAAAGUAAUUUUAGAUAAUGAGGAGGGUAGGUGAAUUGGGAGGACAAAGCUUGAGAAAUGAAAGAUUGGCAAUGGAUGGUUACCAAGUGCAAAACUCCUUCAACAGAGGUAACCAAGAAAUUACUGAAGGUAUGUCUUUUGAAGAUGGUUUGAAGUGCUUAAAGGCAAAAUUUGAUGUUAUGAUGGACACAAUUAUGCAUGAAAUUGAGCAAGGGAGGAAUGUUAAUGAUUUUAAUUCUUAUCAUGUGAUUUGUGACUUGUGUGGAGGUUAUCAUGCUACUAAUACAUGUAUGCAAGCACAAAAUGUGGAUUAUUAUGAUGAAUUAGAGCAUUACAAUCCUUGUUUUGAUCAAUAUAGUGCUAAUUGGAACAAUUCUCCUGUGUGUGGUUGGGAUAAUCAAUGUACUUAUAAUAAUUCCUCAUAUUUUUACGAUUACCAACCUGAAUGUAUCCAAUAUGAAUCAAAACCAUCUUGGGAGUUGGCAAUUGAAAUGGUAGCUAAUGAUUCUAAGCCAUCUUGGGAGUUAGCUUUAGAAAAAUUAGCUAAUGCAACUUCCAACCGUUUUGAUAGGGUUGAAGAAAGAAUAGAUGAACUGACUUCUCACUUUAGUAGAAUACAAGAGAAAUUGAAUGCAUUGUGUGAAGUUAUUUCCUCUAAAAAUUUGCAAAAUGAUCCUAGCAUGAAUGGUAGGAAUGUUGUAUGUGAAAAUGGAUUUCAUUUGGAUGAAAAUGAUGAAUUUCAAUUGUGUUUUAAUGAGCAAAUAUCCAUUUCACAUGAUAAUAUCUUUGGAACUAACCUUGAACCUCAAGAGGUGAGUUUUAAUGACUCAUUUUUCACCCCUCUUGAGGAAUGCAUUGAAAGUGUAGGUUCUAAGGGUAUUGCUGCCCAGGAUACUCUCAUGACAUUUCCGUUGGUAAGUUCUCAAGUGGUGCAUAUUCAAGGUAAUAUUUAUGAAACACUUGGGAUAGGUAAGUCAAUUCCAUUUCUCCUAUCAUUAGAUCAUGUGACUUUUGCUAUAAAGUCACCAUUUAAUGAUCCACCACGACCAAAAAUGGUGGAUUAUUCGUUAACUAAGCCUCCUUGAAAAAUGAGGUGAAAUAGUCAAGCUAUUGACUUUAAAGAAGCGCUUAUUGGGAGGCAACCCAAUGUUUGUUUAAGUUUAUGUUAUUUUGGGGUGAUUUUAUGUUUAAAGUAUAUGUUUGAGUUAUUUUGUUAUUUUUCAUUUGUAGGUAUUGGAAAUGGAAGCAAAAGUGACCAAAUGAGGUGAAAAAGGCGAAAUUUGAUCAAGGAACUCAAACCCUCAAUUUGAGUAAUUGUUGUUUUUGAUUUGUUAGAAGGGGUUAAAAUGCAUAUUUUGAUCAUUUUACAUGUGCAUGCAUUGAGAAUUUUAGCAAACAAAUGAUCUAUGAUGCAUUUUGAGUGAUUGGGGUACAAAUGGUAAUUUUUCAAAAUUGGCUUUCUGCAAAAAUUUCGCAGAAGAAAACGCACUUGGGCUGAAAACGCGCCUUAGAAUCGCGUUUUCCAUAAUCGCGUUUUAAAUUCUGCGCCUAUACUGA
rnacentral:lncRNA from 1 species